rnacentral:rRNA from 1 species
UACGUAGGGAGCAAGCGUUGUCCGGAAUCAUUGGGCGUAAAGCGCGCGUAGGCGGCCUCAUAAGUCCGUUGUGAAAGUCAAAGGCUACAACCUUUGAAAGCCGAUGGAUACUGUCGGGCUAGAGUGCGGGAGAGGCGAGUGGAAUUCCUGGUGUAGCGGUGAAAUGCGCAGAUAUCAGGAGGAACACCAAUUGCGAAGGCAGCUCGCUGGAACGUAACUGACGCUGAGACGCGAAAGCGUGGGGAGCAAACAGG